rnacentral:rRNA from 1 species
UACAGAGGUCUCAAGCGUUGUUCGGAUUCAUUGGGCGUAAAGGGUGCGUAGGCGGCGCGGUAAGUCGGGUGUGAAAUCUCGGGGCUUAACUCCGAAACUGCAUUCGAUACUGCCGUGCUUGAGGACUGGAGAGGAGACUGGAAUUUACGGUGUAGCGGUGAAAUGCGUAGAUAUCAGGAGGAACACCGAUGGCGAAGGCAGGUCUCUGGGCCACUACUGACGCUGGAGAAGCGAAAGCAUGGGGGAGCGAACAGG